rnacentral:lncRNA from 1 species
UGAGUAUUUGCUUAUCUCAUAUAUUCUGAACUGAUGCACUGUUAUACUUUCAUAUUUUGUUGUUUUUUGCUUUUUCUUUUUGUUAUUUUAUCACAUAUUUUCCUUGAGCCAUUUCAUACAUAAUUUUUUAUGUGGCAGUAGUCUUCUUCUCGGCAAUGUUGGUGAUCCUCCUGCCUUGCCGAUGCUGGCACCAAAACUUGGGGAGAGUUUAUGAAGUAAAUAAAUACUUUUAUUCAAUGGAUGCUAUCCACUGUGUUUAUAUUCAUAUCAGCUAAGCUUAUCUUGUUUGCUAAGUUGUUGGUGUUUAUGUGGUCUGAAGCACAAGUUCCUUCUAUGUAAUCACAGAUCUUCCUUUCAGAUAGAAAAUGCUACUUUCCAAAAAAUGUUUUUGCCUUUGAUAUCAUUGUAUGAUGUGUUUUACUUAUGUGUUGAAUUUUUUUUUUUUUUUGAGAUCAUCAGCCUCAUCGUAGGUGUAAAAACUACCUUGGUAAUUUUAUUCUUUCUUGAUGAUGAAGGAUGGAAAUACACCGUUGGAGCCUAUUAUUGUAGUCUUCCAAAUUUUUAGAUUCACUUUUUGAUUUGAGAUUUUGUUCCUUUUUUUAAUGUCAUUUUCCCCUUUAUUAUUAUUAUCAAAUUGAAUGAUAAAAUAUCAUUACAGAGAUUAAUUUCGAAAUUAUUUUGACUAAAAACUAUUACAUCCCCUAUAUAUUAUUUGAGAAGCAUUGCAACAUUUUUUGUAGCCACAUGUCAUCACUAGAAUGAUUCUUAGAAUCCUUAGAAAAACAUGUUGGUUCAUCUAAAUAUAUAAUAAACUUUUUAUUAAACCACAAUAAAUACAUUAUUAAUGUGCUUUAUUAUUUUCUUAAAUAAGAUUACGGAAUUGUCUAAUAUGGCUAAAGUAUAUAUGACAAUUAAUGAUUUUG